CCCUUAGAUGUUCUGGGCCGCACGCGCGCUACACUGACGAAUGCAACGAGCUUAUAACCUUGGCCGAAAGGUCUGGGUAAUCUCCAAAUUUCGUCGUGAUGGGGAUAGAUUAUUGCAAUUAUUAAUCUUCAACGAGGAAUGCCUAGUAAGCGCAAGUCAUCAGCUUGCGUUGAUUACGUCCCUGCCCUUUGUACACACCGCCCGUCGCUCCUACCGAUUGAAUGGUCCGGUGAAGCGUUCGGACCGUGGCCUUUGGACGGUUCGCCGUCUGUUGGCUGCGGGAAGUUCGUUAAACCUUAUCAUUUNGAGGAAGGAGAANUCGUAACA
rnacentral:rRNA from 1 species